rnacentral:rRNA from 1 species
UACGUAGGCAGCGAGCGUUGUUCGGAGUUACUGGGCGUAAAGCGUGCGUAGGCGGUGUUCCAAGUCUGUUGUGAAAUCUCCCGGCUUAACUGGGAGGGUGCGGCGGAAACUGGAACGCUGGAGUAUGGGAGAGGUAAGCGGAAUUCCCGGUGUAGCGGUGAAAUGCGUAGAUAUCAAGAGGAACACCUGCGGCGAAGGCGGGUUGCUGGGCCGACACUGACGCUGAGACGCGAAAGCGUGGGGAGCAAACAGG